rnacentral:rRNA from 1 species
AGUAAAUCAGAGCAUAUGGCGGAUGCCUUGGCUCUCAGAGGCUAUGAAGGGCGUGGUAAGCUGCGAAAAGUUACGGGAAGGCGCAAACAGCUUUUAAUCCGUAAAUUCCCGAAUGGGGCAACCCGGUUUGUUGAAGACAAACCAUUCCGAAAGGAAAGCGAACCCGGAGAACUGAAACAUCUAAGUACCCGGAGGAAAAGAAAACAAUUGUGAUUCCCUAAGUAGUGGCGAGCGAAAUGGGAAGAGCCCAAAUUCAGAUGACCACGGUUGUCUGGAGGUUAGGACUGUACAUGAAGUUAAAAUCAAAACAGAAGCAUCUGGAAAGUUGCAUCAAAGAGGGUGAUAAUCCCGUAAGUGUAAGAUUUUAAUGAAUAGCAGUAUCCAGAGUACCGCGAGGUCGGAGACGCCUUGUGGGAAGAUGCCGGCACCAUCCGGUAAGGCUAAAUACUACUGAGAGACCGAUAGUGCACCAGUACCGCGAGGGAAAGGUGAAAAGUACCCCGAACAGGGGAGUGAAAUAGUACCUGAAACCAUAUGUUCACAAUCAGUCGAAGUCUUCGGACAACGGCGUGCCUUUUGCAUAAUGAGCCUACGAGUUACACCUCUUUGGCAAGGUUAACAUUGUUUACGAUGGUAGCCGCAGCGAAAGCGAGUUCGAAUAGAGCGCUUAGUCAGAGGGGGUAGACGCGAAACCUUAGUGAUCUACCCAUGAGCAGGAUGAAGUCUCGGUAACACGAGAUGGAGGUCCGAACUAAUUAGCGUUGAAAAGCUACUGGAUGACUUGUGGGUAGGGGUGAAAGGCCUAUCAAACUGGGAGAUAGCUCGUACUCCUCGAAAUGUUUUUAGGAACAGCCUCAGUAAAUGUUGUCAUAGAGGUAGAGCUACCGAUUGGGCUAGGGGGCUUCAUCGCCUACCAAACCCUGACGAACUCCGAAUGCUAUGACAAAUACUUGGGAGUGAGGCUUUGGGCGCUAAGGUCCAGGGCCAAGAGGGGAACAACCCAGACCAUCAGUUAAGGUCCCUAAAUCUAUGUUAAGUUGAUCAAACGAUGUUUAAUUGCUAUGACAGCUAGGAUGUUGGCUUGGAAGCAGCCAUUCAUUUAAAGAGUGCGUAACAGCUCACUAGUCGAGUGAUUAAGCGCGGAAAAUAAUCGGGCAUAAAACAUAGUACCGAAACUGUGGGCCUUUAAUGGCGGUAGAGGAGCAUUCUGAUCAGCUGCGAAGAUUUGGCGUAAGCCAGGUUGGAGCGUUCAGAAAAGCAGAUGUAGGCAUAAGUAACGAUAAAACGGAUGAAAAAUCCGUUCGCCGUAAGACUAAGGGUUCCUGAUCCACGUUAAUCGAAUCAGGGUUAGUCGGGUCCUAAGGUGUAGCCGAACGGCGAAGCCGAUGGAAAAAAGGUUAAUAUUCCUUUACCAGCUUCAAUGCGAUGGGGUGACGAAGUAGUGAAAGGUAUGCGCACCGACGGAUGUGUGCGUUGAAACCAGUAGGUAUACGAAAGGUUGGUAAAUCCGCCUAUUGUGCUGAAUGGUUACAGUACCGUGAGUCUUCGGACAAUCGGAUAAUUACCCUAAACAGACUUCCUAGAAAAACCUCUAAGCUUCAGUUGAAAGCUGCCCGUACCGUAAACCGACACAGGUAGUCGAGGAGAAUAUCCUAAGGCGCUCGAGUGAGCCGUGGUUAAGGAACUCGGCAAAUUAGUCCUGUAACUUCGGAAGAAAGGACGCCCCGAGCAAUCGGGGCCGCAGUUAAAAGGCCCAGGCGACUGUUUAACAAAAACACAGGGCUAUGCAAAAUCGAAAGAUGAAGUAUAUGGCCUGAUACCUGCCCGGUGCCGGAAGGUUAAGGAAGCUGGUCAGCCGCAAGGCAAAGCUAGUGACUGAAGCCCCGGUAAACGGCGGCCGUAACUAUAACGGUCCUAAGGUAGCGAAAUUCCUUGUCGGGUAAGUUCCGACCUGCACGAAUGGUCUAACGAUCUGGGCACUGUCUCGACCACGAGCUCGGUGAAAUUGUAGUACCGGUGAAGAUGCCGGUUUCCCGCUACGGGACGAAAAGACCCCAUGCACCUUCACUAUAACUUAACAUUGGAUUUGAACAAAUAAUGUGUAGAAUAGGUGGGAGACUUUGAAGUUUUGACGCUAGUCAGAAUGGAGUCACCGUUGAAAUACCACCCUUUAUUUAUUUAGGUUCUAAUCCCAUAAAAAUGGGAAACAGUGUUAGGCGGGUAGUUUGACUGGGGUGGUCGCCUCCUAAAAAGUAACGGAGGCUUUCAAAGGUACCCUCAGCACGCUUGGUAACCGUGCUUAGAGCGCAUUAGCACAAGGGUGCUUGACUGCAAGACAAACAAGUCGAGCAGGGACGAAAGUCGGAUAAAGUGAUCCGGUGGUUCCGCAUGGAAGGGCCAUCGCUCAAAGGAUAAAAGGUACGCUGGGGAUAACAGGCUGAUCUCACCCAAGAGCUCAUAUCGACGGUGAGGUUUGGCACCUCGAUGUCGGUUCGUCACAUCCUGGGGCUGGAGAAGGUCCCAAGGGUUGAGCUGUUCGCUCAUUAAAGUGGCACGUGAACUGGGUUCAGAACGUCGCAAGACAGUUCGGUCUCUAUCUGUAGUGGGCGUAGGAAAUUUGAGAGGACAUGACCCUAGUACGAGAGGACCGGGUUGUACGAACCUCUGGUGUAUCGGUUGUGGCGCCAGCUGCAGCGCCGAUUAGCUAAGUUCGGAAGUGAUAAGCGCUGAAAGCAUCUAAGCGCGAAACACUCCUCAAGAUGAGAUUUUCCGGGGCUGUAAUAGACUAUUACUUUGAUAGGUGGCAGGUGUAAAGGUGGUAACAUCAAAGCCAAGCCAUACUAAUUGCCCUUUAGCUUU